rnacentral:rRNA from 1 species
CCGCGGUAUUUUGACCGUGCUAAGGUAGCAUAAUCAUUAGUUUUUUUAUUGAAAGCUGGAAUGAAGGGCUGGAUGAAAAAAUAUCUGUCUCUAUUAAAAAUUUUUAGAAUUUUAUUUUUAAGUUAAAAAGCUUAAAUAUUUUUAAAAGACGAGAAGACCCUAUAGAGUUUAAUAAUUAAAUAAAUAAUAUUUUUUUGGAAUUAAUUUAAUAUUUUUGUUUAAUUAUUUAAUUGGGGUGAUUAAAAAAUUAUUAAAACUUUUUUUGUAUAAUUAUAUUGGUUAAUAAAUAUUUGAUCUAAAUUUUUUGAUUAAAAGAAAAAAUUACCUUAGGGAUAACAGCGUAAUUUUAUUAAAGAGUU